rnacentral:rRNA from 1 species
UGGGGAAUAUUGGACAAUGGGCGCAAGCCUGAUCCAGCCAUGCCGCGUGAGUGAUGAAGGCCCUAGGGUUGUAAAGCUCUUUCACCGGUGAAGAUAAUGACGGUAACCGGAGAAGAAGCCCCGGCUAACUUCGUGCCAGCAGCCGCGGUAAUACGAAGGGGGCUAGCGUUGUUCGGAUUUACUGGGCGUAAAGCGCACGUAGGCGGACUAUUAAGUCAGGGGUGAAAUCCCGGGGCUCAACCCCGGAACUGCCUUUGAUACUGGUAGUCUUGAGUUCGAGAGAGGUGAGUGGAAUUCCGAGUGUAGAGGUGAAAUUCGUAGAUAUUCGGAGGAACACAGUGGCGAAGGCGGCUCACUGGCUCGAUACUGACGCUGAGGUGCGAAAGCGUGGGGAGCAAACAGG